CCGUGAGAGGAAUGAUAUAUUACUAUAAGGCUCUCACAAUACUGGCAUACCUUGAUUCAGCAUCCGAGAUGGACAUUAGGG
rnacentral:snoRNA from 1 species